GGAAACUAUGAGUGGUGACUUACCUACUCUGGAAAUGAAACGAAAACAAUGGGAGGAGAAAGAGGUAGUGCAGAUUUGAGACUAUCACUUUCUACGAUUGAAAAUUUAGCAGGAGAUGCACAGAAAAAUUAUAGACAGAAUGAAUGGUCGGACGAAAGAGGUCAGCCCUUCAUAAAUUAAUAAAUGUACAUAUGUUAGAAUCCUAUAAAGAAGCAGGGAUUGGAUUUGGAGCUAAUGUUCAAUAACUUACCCCUUGGUUCUCUCUGUCGUUUGGCUUCUUCAAGAUGAAGUUGAUCCUAUGGUCUCUGUCAUGAAGGUUGAAGGCACAUUGGUGGUUUAGAUGCCCAGAUACAGGAAAUUAAAGAAGCAGU